GACGAACGCUGGCGGCGUGCCUAAUACAUGCAAGUAGGACGCAGUUGCGAACGGGUGAGUAACGCGUAGGUAACUACCUAUUAGAGGGGGAUAACUAUUGGAAACGAUAGCUAAUACCGCAUACUAGUAGAUGGACCUGCGUUGUAUUAGGUAGUAGGUAGGGGAAUGGCCUACCUAGGCAACGAUGCAUAGCCGACCUGGUGGGGUGGUCGGCCACACGGGGACUGAGGCACUGGCCAGACCCCUACGGGAGGGAGCAGUAGGGAAUCUUCGGCAAUGGGGGGAACCCUGACCGAGCAACGCCGCGUGAGUGAAGAAGGUUUUCGGAGCGUAAAGCUCUGUUGUUAAGGAAGCGGUACUUAACCAGAAAGGGACGGCUAACUACGUGCCAGCCGCCGCGGUAAUAC
rnacentral:rRNA from 1 species